rnacentral:lncRNA from 1 species
UCUUGGCUUGCAUAUUGAAAUGCAAAAUUUAGAAAAGUUUGUACUCCAUUUCGAUAACCGUCGUUUACCCUUGACAAAUUCAUCCAAGGCCGGUCCAUUUCUUAUUUCUUGAAGCCUAAUCUUGACAAUAAAUUGCACGGGUAAGUUAUGCAUUGUGUAAGCUAUGUAAGUUGUGUAUUAUGUAAGUUAUUAUUAUGCUUUAAGUUAUGUAAGUAAUGUAUUAUGUAAGUUAUUUAAGUUAGUUAUCAAAGUUAUGUAUUAUGUAAGUUAUUUAAGUUAUGUAACAUGUAAAUUAUGUAAGUUAUGUAGGCUAUGUAUGUUAAGUAAGUAAUGUAUUAUGUAAGUUGUCUAUAAUGUUAGUUAUCAAAGUUAUAUAUUAUGUGUUUCAAUUUAAGUUAUGUAAGUUGUGUAUUAUGUAAGUUGUGUAUUAUGUAAGUUAUUAAAAAUUGAAAUGUAGGAUAUAUAUCCAUACCAUAUAUGGGGUGAUAUAUUAAAAAUAUAGGUUUUAAUAUUUAAAAAUAACAUUUACAUUUAUUUUUAAAAUUAUAAAAUUCAUUUCUAAUAAAAUUGAAAUAUAGGUUAUAUAUCCAUACCACAUAUGGGGUGAUACAUUAAAAAUAUAGGUUUUAUUAUUUAAAAAUAACAUUUACAAUUAUUUUUAAAAUUAUAAAAUUUAUUUCUAAUAAAAUUGAAAUAUAGGUUAUACAUCCAUACCAUAUAUGGGGUGAUAUAUUAGAAAUAUAAGUUUUAAUAUUUAAAAAUAACAUUUACAAUAUCUAGAAUAGUAGCAAAAUUAAUAAUAAAACAAGAGAAAAAAAAAUCAACCCUGUGUGUAGUCUGCUACCCUAGCACGUUUCUGUCUGCCGCCUUUGGCAUGAUAUCUUUAGGUUUUUCGUAGAUUGCUUUUGUUCUUUUUUCUUGAAAUCGGCUUGAACACAAUUUUGCUCAGACGAUAGGGAGGACGGUAGAGUUUUUCUGAACAUCAAUUCCUGCAAUCAUGGAAACAGAAUUAGCACAAUUGUCGCUCACUGAAGAAGAGGAAAUUUUACAGAUCCAGACUGAUCCAUGCAUGCAAAAAGAACGUGAAGAUUUUCAGCUUGUAGGUUGUUUUUUAACAGCAAGCAUAAUACACUAUCCAGCUAUGAGAAGCACCAUGGCAAAUUUGUGGCACCCUGUCUGUGGGGUACAAAUUCGAGAUCUGGGAAAAAAAGGUACCUUUUUAAAUUUUUUCACAGUAUGGAUUUGGAAAGAGUUCUGAAGGGUUUACCGUGCACUUUUAAUAAUCAUUUAUUUGUACUCUGCAAAUUGAGAAGGGGAGAAAAUCCAUUGGCGGUACCACUAAUUUUUAACCCUUUUUGGGUACAAAUUCAUUAUGUCCCAAUAGGUUUAUUUACUGAAAGCCUAGCAACACAGCUGGGCAAUUUUAUUGGAGUUUUCAUGGAGUAGGAUGUAUCUAAGUUGGGAAAGGAGACUCAUAAUUUUAUGAGAAUAAGAGUGCAGAUUGAUAUUAGGAAACAUUUGAAAAGAAAGAAACAAGUUUGGUGGGAUAUGCUCAUAUGUUAAAUUUAAGAAUGAGCGUCUAUCGCUGUUUUGUUUUUUCUGUGGACGUUUAGGUCAUAAUGACUCUUUCUGUGAAGAGAGAAUGAGGGCUGGAGGGGAGAUUGCUGAAAUGAGAUGGGAUUUAACAUUACGGGCACCAUCUCGAAGAGCUCUAUCAAUGAAUAGCAUUUGGCUGCGAGAGGAGGGGGAAGGGAAGCUUGGAGAAGGCUGGAUGGAGAGUAGGUUUGACAGGUUAAACAAGCAAAAUGAGGCUUCAAAAGGAAAGAGGGGCAAAGCUAUUGAUCCAAUAUUGGGGAUUAGCCUUGAGGGGAGGGCAACACAUGAAGAACAGAGAAAUAAAAUCUGGUCUUAUCAGAUGCAAAUGGCUAUAGAGCAUGAUUUGGAAGAUGAAACUUUAAUAGGGGAGGAAGGAAAAAAGAGAAAUAAAGGGGAGAUGAAGGCGUACAUUCUCUAAUAUCGGCAGCUGCCAAAAGGCAUGCCGACCGGGCACAUUAAAAAUCUUAAGCUGGAACUUCUGUGGUUUGGGGAGACAACAGACAGUUGGAAGACUUCGGCACUUGCUGAAAAUUAAUAAUCCCCAAAUAGUCUUCUUUAUGAAGACUAAAAUUAAUAAGAAACAAAUGGACAUCACUCACAGGAGGUGUGGUUUCGCAAAUGGAAUCGAAGUGGAACCUGAAGGUUCGAGAGGAGGGUUGUGCUUAGCUUGGAGAACUGACAUUGAAGUUAUGCUUCGUAGUUACUCUAAAAGACAUAUUGAUGUGAUCGUUGAAGAUAAGGAAAAAGGAAUUAAUUGAAGAUUUACAGGAUUUUAUGGUUCCCCAUACAUACAAGAUAGGAAUGAUUCGUGGGAGGUUUUGAAAAGUUUAGCUAAUGAUAGAGAAACCUCUUGGUUGGUUUGCAGAGACUUCAAUGAAAUUAUGUAUGGAUUUGAAAAAAAAGGAGGGUUACCUAGGGAUGAAAGAAGGAUGGAAAUUUUUAGCAAAACAUUAGAGGAGUGCCGAUUAAAUUAUGUCGGUUUUGAGGGCAGGCGUUUUACUUGGGAGAGGGGCAACUUACCAGAGAUGAACAUCCAAGAAGGUUUGGACAGAGCAGUAGCAAACACAUAUUGGAUUAUGUUUCCAGAAAUUAAAGUUCAACAUCUUGCUCAUUCAUUUUCAGACCAUUGUCCUCUUCUUAUUAAUACCAGGAGAUUUGCAGAACGAGUAAGGGAUAACAAUUUCAGAUUUGAAGCAUGGUGGCUGUUGGAAGAAUCUUUCAUGGAAGAAGUCAAAAAACUAUGGGAGAAUUCGUCAGAGGAAAUAUUAAAGAGGCUGGAUAAUUUAAAGAAAGGAUUGCAGAUUUGGGCUGGGCAGUUAAAAAAAAAUAGGCAGAAGACAAAAGAGAUGCUUACGAAGAAACUUGGCGAGUUAGCUGAAGCAACCAGAAAUGAAGAGACCUUAGCUGAAUUAAUUGAUACAAAAAUAAACUUGAAUUUUGAGAUUGAGAAGGACGAAUGCUAUUGGGAACAGAGAGCUAGAAUUAAUUGGUUGAAAUUAGAGGACAAAAAUACUGCUUUCUUUCAUAGCCAAGCUUCACAACGGAGAAGAAAGAAUCUCAUUCAUAAGCUGAAAGAUGAAGAGGGUAGAGAAAUGGAGCUCAUUCAAGACAUUGAGGGUGUGGCUAAGUCUUAUUUUCAGAAUUUAUUUUCGGCAAGAGAAUGGGAAUUGAGAUCACAUUCUAUCAGGGAUAGAACGCUGCAUUCAUGCGGAUGACAACCGAAAACUUACAGAACUAUAUUCCAGAGAGGAAAUUAGAAAAGCUGUUUUUGAAAUGGGACCUACAAAAGCACCAGGGGAGGAUGGAUUUCCUGCAUUAAUCUAUCAGAAGUGUUGGCAGAUUGUUGGGGAUGACGUCCUAGCUUUCUGUCUACAAAUUUUAAACGGAAAUAUGGAGGUUAGUCCAAUAAAUUCCUCAAAUAUUGUGCUUAUUCCAAAAGUCAGCAAUCCAUCAACUAUGAUGCAAUUUAGGCUAAUUAGUCUAUGCAAUGUACUUUACAAAAUUAUUGCAAAGGUACUUGCAAACAGAUUUCGAAGUGUUAUUGGCAAAUGUAUUGAUGAAGCGCAAAGUGCUUUUGUGCCAGGCAGGUUAAUAUCAGAUAAUGUAUUACUCACUUACGAAAUAUUGCACAAGUUAAAACAAAAGAGAACGGGAAAAAAGGAUUUAUGGCCGUUAAACUCAAUAUGAGUAAAGCUUAUGACAGGGUAGAAUGGAAACUUAUAGAGUAGGUCAUGAAAAGGAUGGGGUUUGAUUUUAGUUGGGUAAAUGCCAUUAUGAAAUGUGUGUCAUCUGUUGCUUAUUCAGUUGUCAUAAACGGGUACAGAGGAGAUAAAUUUGUACCAACCAGAGGACUUGGACAAGGGGACCCAUUAAGCCCGUUUUUAUUCCUGAUAUGUGGUGAAGGUUUAUCGAGCUUGCUGAGGUUAGCAAUGAAGAGAGAUCGUCUCAAAGGAGUAGGGGUGAGUAGAUACGGUCCGCAUGUAUCUCAUCUUUUAUUUGCUGAUGACUGCAUACUGCUUGGAGAGGCAACUAGGAGGGGUGCAAACAUCAUAAAGGAUAUUGUGUGAAUUCAAAGUUUGCUCGGGACAAUGUGUAAAUUUUGAUAAAUCAACGGUAUUCUUUAGUAAAAACACGUUGUAGUAGGAUAGGAGACAAGUGGUUGAUGUGUUGGGGGUACGUAGGACUAGUGAACCUGAACGAUAUCUAGGGCUACCGAAUAUGGUGGGACGAAAAAAAAAAGAAGCUUUUCAGAGUUUAAGGAUCAAAUCAAAAAACAUAUUGAUAACCGGAGCAAUAGAUUUUUAUCACGAGGGAAAGAAAUUUUUAUAAAGGCCAUUUUGCAAGCUAUUCCGACUUAUUCUAUGGCAUGUUUCUUACUGCCGAGAGCUCUUUGUGAUGAAAUGGAGAGUAUUAUAGCAAGAUUCUGGUGGCAAAAAGGAGGGGGCAAAAGGGGAAUUCAUUGGUGCACUUGGAAAAACCUUUGUUCGUUAAAAGAAAAUGGUGGUCUAGGCUUUCGAGAUCUUAGUCAAUUUAAUAUUGCGUUAUUAGCUAAACAAGGUGCGUCUCAUUAAUUUCCCAAUUUCUUUAUUAGCCAGAGUUUUGAAAGCUAAAUAUUUUCCACAGUCCAGUUUUUUAAACGUAGAGUUGGGAAAUUUACCUUCAUUUACCUGGAAGAGCAUCUGGGCGGCAAAAGGACUUCUUCAAAGAGGAUUGGGUUGGAGAGUUGGUAAAGGGAGUUGCAUUUCUAUCUGGGAAGACAACUGGAUUCAGGGGAUUGACAAGGUGGCUGAGCUUAAUAGCACAAACAGAAGAGAAUUACAGUUAGUUUCAGACCUCAUUGACAAUUCAAUUCAAGUAGAAAAUGGAAGUCAGACUUAAUUAAAAGUACCUCUCAAGAAGAAACUGCUCGGAAGAUUCUACAAAUUCCUCUGGCAGAGACAGAACAUGAGGAUAUUCAGGUGUGGAGUGGAGAACUAUCUGGUGAGUUUUCAGUACGUAGUGCGUAUAAACUACUACAAGAUGCUUCUACAGCUAAUGACUACUUAUUACAGACCGAAAUAAGAAAUUUUUACAAAAAAUUAUGGAGCCUACAAUUGCCUUCAAAAAUUGCAAUUACAAUCUGGAGGAUUUCAUGGGAUUAUAUCCCUCACUUUGGUAAUCUCAGCUUGAGGAGGGUUAGUUCAACUGCCCGCUGUCCACGAUGUUAUUUUGGAGUAGAAGAGAGUCUUCAUGUUUUCCGAGAGUGUCCUUUUACAAGAGAAGUGUGGCAAGCAUUAAACUUAGCAUGGAUCAUGGAGAAUACGAGUCAAAAUACAUGGGAGUGGCUAACCUGGGUUUUCAAGAACAGCAACAAUUACCAGUGUCGGCUUUUCUGCUAUGCGUUAUGGUUGAUAUGGUCCUUUAGAAACAAACUCAUUCACGAGGGCAAAAAUUCAACAGGAAGGGGAUUAGCUCAGAAUAUUCAAAGACAUAUGGUAGAAUAUGAGGGAAUAAAUGCUGAGAAGAAAACUGAGAAAAAAAUUUUCAAGAGUCACAGUAUACAGGAAAACGUACCGAGAAUAUCGAUCAAAUUUGAUGCAGCACUGGAUAGUAGAACCUUCAAAUCAGCGACAGGACUAGUUGGUUGGGAUAUGAGGGGAAAUCUACUGGUGAUAAAAACGGUUAUCCACAGAAAUGUUCCCUCAUCAUUCGCAGCAGAGGCAUAUGCAUGUUUAGAAGCCAUGAAAUUAGGGAUUGCUUUAGGAUCUCAGUCAAUUAGAAUUAUGGGAGACUCAAAAACCGUCAUAAAGAAGAGCAAGGCGAUGUCAACAGAUAAAUCGGUAAUAGGUGCCAUUAUUAAAGAUAUUCAGAACAAGAAAUCCUUUUUUCAAGAUCUUACUUUAAAGCACAUACAUAGAUCAGAGAAUACACAUGCACAUGGUCUAACAAAGAGAGCUCUCGCGAAAGAAGAAAACAUUUACCUGAUAGGAGAAGAACUGGACCGCCACAUUUCAACCUUGGAUGAAGAUUGGCAAAGAAAUCCGGAUUGAAGAAAUGGGUGAAGGAGCAGCAUCCAAAACAGAUAGCUUAAUGAAGUUUAAAUCUAUGGGGAAGAGCUAUCGACAUAACAGAUGGGACCUUGGAAAUGACUCUUCAAUAGCCUUUAUGGUUUCCAGCUGUUUCUGAUUAAUGACUGGGAUAGGUUUCAUUCGGUAGAUUUUAAUUUCAAUUAAUGCUUUUGUCUUUUUCCUUUUAAUUUUCUAACUUUUGGAUUGACGUUUCUUGGGGGGUGUAAUUUUAUAUUUGUUUAGGUUGAAAUUUAGAUUGGUUCUUUUCUGUUUGGUGCUUUGACUUAGGCCUUUGAUUUGGGCUGAUUGGAUUAUUAUUAUUAUUUUUUCUUUCAUAAUAAAUACCCAGCCAUUCUAUCAAAAAAAAUAACAUUUACAAUUAUUUUUAAAAUUAUAAAAUUUAUUAACAAUAAAAUUAAAAUAUAGGUUAUAUAUCCAUACCAUAUAGCUAAAUUUUUAAUAUAUAUAUAUAUAAAGUUUAAGUAAUGUAAUAUAUUUAAGUAAUGUAAGUUAUAAAUUUUUGUAAGUAAUAUAUUUAAGUAAUGUAAUAUAUUUUAGUAAGUAAUGUAAGUAAUGUAAUAUAUACUUUAAUUUUAGUAAGUUAUGUAUUUAAGUAAUAUAUUUAAUCCAAUUCUAGUAAGUAAUGUAUUUAAGUAAUAUAUUUAAGUAAAUUUUAGUAAUUAAUAUAUUUAAGUAAUGUAAGUUAUAAAUUUUAAAAAUAUAUAUUAAUAAUUUAUUGACAUUCAUUGACAAUUCACUGACAGUCAAUAAAUUAAUCGAUCAAUUUAUUGAAUAAUCAUAGAUUAUUAAACAUUAACAUUCAAUCAAUUAAUCACAUAUAACGUCGAUAAUUUAUUCAUUGACAUAAAAUCAAAAAUUGAUAAUUUAUUCACAUUAAACCGAAUAAACUAAUCGCCCAUAAUUUAUUCAAUUACUCAAAUAUAAAAAGUGAUUUAAGAAUCAUAAUCUGAAAUUUAAUAAUUUGCGUAAUUUUUUUUUCUUGGGUAAAUGAUACGUACAAAAAUAACAAGCAUAAUUUAAAACUAGCAUAACUUGUAAUAAGCGGCAAAGUUACACGUAAAUUAAAUUGAGCUAGCAACAUAUAAAGCAAAUAUGAUAAUUAAAACCGAUACCCACAACUUUAAAACCAAAAAUCUUAAUUAAAACUCCGUUUUAAAACUAAAAAAAACCAACUCAAUUAAACGAUAAAGCUGAAAUAUAACCAAAUCAAAAAUUUAAACAUUUGGAGGUGUUUUUUUUAAGAAAACUAUCUAGGGAAACAUAGAAAUAAAUACCUCAAAUUUCCUCAACUUCGAAGCAAACUUCUGCAAAAAAAACACACACACACACACAAGUAAAUUAGUACCAACAAAACAGAAAAAAAAAUAACAGAAGGAAACAAAAGAAUAUUUAACUAAAUUAAGAUACAAAUCUAAAUUUGAAUUUUAAUUAUCACAACAAUCAGAACAAUACAUAAAGACCAAUGCAGAACAAGACUCUAUAUUUCUUCAGAAUUACCGUAUGAACUAUUUCCAUAUCAAAUUCACUUAAUUAUUCAUACCAAAUAUUAAUAUCAAAUAUUUAACAACUUUGAUUCAGAUGAAAUAUCUAAUAUCAAAUUCACAUCAAAGAACAUUUGACAGUAGCCUCAAUUAAGCAGUACUAACCAACCAUUCUUUUACAAAUUAUGAACAUUUGACAGUAGCUAAGCUGCUGUCUACAGCCUGUCUAUAGUCACAAUUUCGGCAAAUUGCAGCAUUGAGUCUCAUAACCUACAAGAUAUAAUUAGUUACAUUUAACUAAAUAUGAAUAAAAUCUACUAUUAAAUAAUAUAUGUUGCUAUCGCAAAACAAGGUAGAAAACAGAACAUCUAUUUGCAUAUUCAUUCAGAAAAUCUCGCAAAACGGACUAGAAAUCAAACUAGAUCCCUUUUGUUCAAAUUGAUUAUAAAACAGUCAUCCCGAGGUAUUGAAAUUUAAGCAGCAAAAACUGGUAUCGAUUUCUCCGCACUCAAACCACAGGUGUGAAACGCAUUUUAAACAUUUAUAAAUUUCAUAGCUUUAUUUUUUAUAUAUAUCUGAUUGACCUCAUGAACAACAUGAUAACAGAAAUGAGUCUUAUGUAUUUUGUAAUCAAUUUUUGCAGGCAUUGAAGGCUAAAUUGGCGAGAAAUAGUGAACUUCAACUCAUCUGCGUCAGCUUGUUUGAUUUAGUAAAGCGGUUAGUCAAUUCUCUGCAACAUUUAUUCAGCAAAUUGAAUUUUCUGUUUUCAUUUGCAUCUAGUUCUGUUCUAAGCUAUUUUGGUAUAUGAGAAUGGGAUUUUAGUUUAAAAUACUCAAGCAUUCAAUCCUUACACUGGAAUCCAAGUAGCAUAGAUUAAAACCGGUUUUAUUUUUUCUUUUCUAACAAAAUCCUAACCAAAUAACUGACAUUUAUAAUCAAAAUAAAUCAUUAAAUAAAUAAAAUACCAAUAAAAUUGUAACACCCCUAACCCGUAUCCAUUGCCGAAUUAGGGUUACGAGGCAUUACUGAACAAAUUCAACAUUUUUAAAACCAAACUGAUCACAACGUAAAAAUUUAAUUACUUUCGCAUAGCUAUUAUAAUUUUCAAUCAAAAUGUAAUUAACAUCGUACUCAAACCUAUACAUGCCAUAAGAUUGAGUUCAAAUAUUUAACAAAAUACCAAAAGAAGUCGAUAGUGUGAUGGACUAUGCUGAUGAUCCCCGAGCUCGUAACGCGUCUCCAAAAUCUAUAAAAGCAAAUAGACGAAAACAAACAAAGUAAGCUUUUAUAGCUUAGUAAGUUUACAGCAUAACUAAAUGUAUAUAAAUAUAUAAAUAAAGUUACUUUUUAAUCUAUUUCACUGAUAUUUCAAUUAACACGAAUAACUAAUAUUUAUAUAUUAUUGUACUCAGACCAUUUCAUUUAUAGACAGAUAUGCAUACCUGUCGAAGGCGAUCAAUUGCAUAUAUAUUUUUAUACCAAACAACAUUACAACGAAUGUAUACAACCGAGCAUAUAUAUAUUAUACACAUAUCAUAACCGAAUGUGUAUGAAUACUCAUUUUAAACUUUAAACCAAUACAAAUCUAAUACAUAUGAACGAAUGCAUUCAUUUUCAUCAAAUACUUAUAAACCAAGGUAUAUAUAUAUCGAAUGCAUAUAUAGUUACUAAUCAAAUAUGUGUACCGAAUAUUUAAAAGUAUAUAUUUAUCAAAUGCAUAAUCCCAGAGCAUAUAUAUAUUUCUCAAUUGUAUAAGUCGGAUAUAUAUAUAAUCAUCAAACGCACUUAGCCAAAUGUAUAUAUAUAAAUAUACUUAUCAAUUAAAUAUAUCCAAAAUCAUAUAAUUGUACACCUAAUCACAUACUUAAAACAGAUUCACCGGCAUUUAGCCUGCUAAGCUUUAAGCCUGAUUCAGUACACCGGCACUUAGCCUGCUAGACAUAUAGUCUGAAAUAUUUCACCGGCAUUAAGCCUGCUAGACAUAUAGUCUGAAGUGUUUCACCGGCAAUAAGCCUGCUAAGCGCUAUGCUUGAAAAUCUCAAUUUUCCCAUAUACAGAAUAAUUUCCUCAAAUACUUAUUAACAGCAAACACACAUUCAUUGUAGUACAUAUUCAAUCACAAAAGAGUUUGCGAAUCAUACAUUCGAUUCAAUUCAAGAAUCUGUACACAAAUAUACAUUUAGAUAUAUUCGAACUCCCAAAUACGUUUUUAACAUUUAUACCUUAAAAUAUAAUCAAGACUUAUUCAUAUAUAUAUAGAUGUUCCAACUCCAUAUACUUACUUAUUCGAAAUUAUCUGUACAAUUACAACAUACAUACUUUUAAUCAAACCCUAAUGUUUUUACAUACAUCUAUAUGUUCGAAACUUAUGUAUACAUAUGUAUUAUACAUAUCUUUAAUUUAAGCAAGAAUUUAUACAUGUAUUUACUUACAUAUAUUUGAAUCUUAAGUGCACAUAUAUAUAACUCUCAUACAACCAACCAAAUUCAAGUAUAUGUAUACAUAUAGAUACAUAUAUAAUUAUUUGAAUUUAUAUAUAUAACUUUAUACCAUUCAUACUUUAACUUAGUUCAAAAAUUUAUAUAAGCAUAUACCUAUAUAUUUGAACAUUGUAUAUACAUAUUUAUACCAUUUAUAAUUUGAAUUUAUUCAAUUAAAUUACUUUUAAUUAUAGCUCAACAACAACAUAAUAGAUAUUCAUACAUAUAUAUAUUGAUUUAAUAACAUUAAAUAGCUAAUAGACUUACCUCGGACGAUGGAAAAUCGAAGUCGGACGAUUAUUCGACUAAUUUGGCUUUUCCCCGAUCUAACUCCGAUUUCUUUGGUUCUCGAUCUAAAUAUAUUCAAAAUAAGAUAAUUUAUUUAUUAACACAUUCAAUUUAAUCCAAAAACACAUAAUUUGGCAAAUUACUAUUUUGCCCCUAAUAUUUACACUUUUUUGCAUUUUAGUCCCUAUUGCAUAAAACACAAUUUAUACAAAAUUUGCCCAUACCACACAAGGGCCGAAUAUUCAUGGUUCUCAUACAAGUCCACACAUUGCAUUUAUUUCACACUUUAGUCCCCCAAAAAUUUAAUUUCACAAUUUAGCCCUAUUUACUCAAUUUCACUAAAAAUUCCAAUACAAAAUAUAUUAAUCUAACAAAUAUAUUUCAUAUUUCACCUACUAACAUCAUAAAACUCAAGCAUUCAUCAAUGGCACAUUUCAAAAUCAUCCACAAUUCACAAAAUUAAGAUAUGGGUUUUGAAGAACACGAAGCAACGAUCUCAAAAACGUAAAAAUUAUCAAAAACCGAAGUAAAACAUACCUUGAAUUAAGCUUGUUAAUGACCGAAUACCUCAAAGCUUUUAAACCCUAUUUGUUUUUCUAAGUUUCGGCAAAGGAAGAAUGAAAAUAAUGGCUUCAAUUGAUUUAUUAUAUCAUAUGUUUAUUUAAUUAUUAGUUUACUAUAUUAACCUUUAAUACAAAAUAUAUAAACCUUAUAAUAUAAUGUCAUUUUUUACCAUUAUCACCCACUCACUACUUUAUGGUCUUAUUGCAUCAUAGAUCCUUCCAUUUAAAAAGACAACAACAAUUAGGUGCUUUUAUAAUUAACCCCUAAAUUUUUAUUUUUCGCGAUUUAAUCCUUUUAUUUAAUCGGACACUCAAACAACAAAAUUAAAACACGAAAAUUUCACACAAUCAAAUGCACACAAAGUAAACACACAAAAUAAUAUUGAAAUAUUUUUAGGACUCGGAUUUGUGGUCCCGAAACCACUAUUCUGAUUAGAGUCAAACCGGGUUGUUACAAAAACAUAAAGCACAGCAAUGUUGUUGUCAACAGAGCAUAACUAAAAAUUUAAAGAAAAAGAACAAUGAAAUAAACAAAAUGAAGGGAGAAACACGCAGAAAUCCCCAAACCCUAGACAUGCAGAAAUCUCCAAAUUCCCCAAAUUCCCAAACAAACUACCAAUAUCUUGGUAAUUGAACUUGGAAUCUAAACCCCAAAUUCCCAAAUUACACUGAACCAAAACCCUAAAUCAAGAUACAGUAUUUCGAAAGGAAAAAAACACUUACCUUUUAACCACAAAUUCCGCAGCUUUGAUAGUAUCCUCUGAAGAUUGACUAAACCUUUGCUUCGUUUGUGACGAUUCUGAGUUCUCCUACACCUUUUUCUUUCUUUGUAUUUUUUCACGAUUUCUGGGGAAAAGUUGGGGGGCCUUUUUGGGGACAAAAUUCGUUUUUCGGCUAAGUGUUGGGAUGAAAUAUAGAAUGAACAAUUGCGGCGUUUGUAAUAUAGCGCCACUAAUACCGUUAAUGUGGUAGAUAAACGACAGCGUUUUCUUAAAACUGGAAAGCAAAUUUGCGGCGCUUUCGCGUAGCGUCGCUAAAACAUACCUUUACUGGCGCUUUUACAAUUGCGCCGCAAAAGCCAGUAAAUUCCCGAACAAAAACUACAUCGUUUUGCCCAAACUAUUCAUAAUUUUUUGCGGCGUUUACGAAUAAAACGCCGCUAAUGCCCAUUUUUCUGGCGUUUUUUACAAAAACCCCACUAACAAAUUAAAUUCUUCUACUGAAACGGCACCGUUUUUUAGGAAUUUUAAAACAUUGUUUUUUUUAAUUCAUAUUUAAAAAACACAAUAUAUAAUUACAAAUUGCGGCGUUUACUAAUAAAACGCCGCUAAUGCCGUUAAUAUGCAAUAGAAAAUGACAACAUUUUGAUUAAACUACAGAGCAACUUUGCGGCGUUUUCUUCCUAGCGCCUCUAAUACCCAACUUUAGUGGCGUUUUGGCCCUUGCGCCGCAAACGCCGUUAAAUUCUCAGCCAAAAACUACACCGUUUUUACCAAAUUAUUAAUAACUUUUGCGGCGUUUUUGCUCAAAACGCCGCUAAAUCUCACAUCUUUUACUUAGUAUUAUUUGUUUCUUUCUUUCUUCUAUGUUUCAUUAGAAUUUUAAUUAAUUAAUUAUUAAAAUUUUAAGUAAUGUUUAAAACUAUCUGAUAAAAUUAUAAAUUUUAGUUUUUUUAUUUCAUUUUUAUAUUUUUAUAUUUUUUUAUUCCAAAUUAAAUAUAAGUAAUUACUAUAUAUAUAUAAAAUAUCAAAUUGUUAACUUAACAAUAUUUUUAAAUAUAAAUUUUAGUAAUUAAAUGUAUCAUUUAACAAGCUGUCUAAAAUAAACCAAAACCCUAAUUAAUUUAACCAUUCGGUAUACAUGUAUAUAUAAAGUGAUCUAUAUAUAUAUUAUGAUCUCUAAUUAAUUUAAUAAUAUAUACUAUACAUAUCUUUGAAAUAUCUUAAAUGAUCACUGAACUGACCUCCACCAAUUGUAGGAUUCUUGACAUGUGCUAUUGGUGCCCUAGGAACAUUGCCAAAAUACCGAAAGGGGGCAUCUGCUAGCUUCCAACCCUCCAAAUCCCGUCGUUCAUCAAUAAAUAUUUUUAGAACGAUCCUUUCUACUAUAAAUUAGAAGGCUGAACCAGAUUUUGUAGAGUAGUGACAAUAAUUUAGAGAAACAAAACUGGAUGGUCACUACUUAAUAUUAAAUUUAUUAUUAUAUAUUUUACAAACAUAUAAGAACAUAUUUAAUAUAUAAAUUAAUAAAACUAAUUAAUCUAAGCAACCAUGAUCCCUAACUUGAGUAGUACCAUUAAUUGACACCCUAAACCCUAAAUCCCUAACCCCUAACCCUUAAAUUCCUUAACCCCUAAAUCCCUAACCCAUAACCCAUAAACCUUAUAUCCCAAACCCUAAUAAUCAUAUAUACCCCAUAUAUAUAUACCUUCCAAAAAAUUCCCUAAAUCUUUAAUAAUCAUAAAAACAGUUAAAAUCGAUUAAACAAUAAUUAAUAGUUAAAAAUUUCGUAUUAAGUAGCAAUAAACAAUAUUAUUCUUUAUAAAAUUUAUUUUUUAUAUAAAGUAUGGAAUAUGUAAUAUUUUAUUUUAUUGAUAAAUAUUGAAUAAAUUUCUCUAAUUAACAAAUUUAUUAUAUUCUUAAUUUCUCAAAUAGAUAUAUAAAUGAAAACAAGAAGGACGAACAACUAUAUAUAUACAUGGCAUUUUUCUUAAAUAUUGAUGAAGUGACAACAAAAGGAAUGAUAGCGAGUUAGGACGUAUAUAUAUCCAUAUAUUUUAAUUAAUUGAAUGAGAUCAAUUCAAAUUCACAAUUUGCGGCGUUUUUAUCAAAACGCCGGUAAUGUCUACCUUUUGCGGCGUUUUUGCAGAAAACGCCACUAAAAAUUUAAAUUUUUCUACCCAAACGGCGCCGUUUUGGGAAAUUUUAAUACAUAGUAAUGGCGUUUUUUGCUGAAAACGCCGCUAAAGCUCGCAUAUUUUUUUAUAUUCAAUUAUUGAAUCUUUCAUAUAAAUUUUACAUAAAGAAUUAUUAAAAUUUUAAGUAAUAUUUAAAAGAAUUAGAAAAAUUAUAUUUUUUAUUUUUUAUUUCAUUUUUAUUUUUGUAUUUUAUUUUUUCUUAUAAUUUGGUCCUAUCCAAAUUAAAUAAUUACCUAUCUAUCCAUAUUAAAUAUAUCAAAUGGUUUAGAUACAAUAUUUUUAAAUAUAAAAGCAUUAAUUAAUUGUAUAAAAUUGUAUCAUUUAACAAAUCUCAAAUAAACCUUAAAUAUUAAAUUAACCAUUCAAUAUACAUAAAGUCUAUCUAUUAUAUAUCUCUUAAAUAAUAUAAACUAUACUCAUAAUUUCAAUAUAUUAAAUUUAUUAUUAUAUCUUUUACAAUUAUAUAAGAACAUAUUUAAUAUAUAAAUAAAAAAAACUAAUUAAUCUAAACCCUAAACCUUAACCCGACCCUUAAAACCCUAAAUCCCUAGCUAUUAACCCCUAAGUACUCCCUAACUCCUAACCCCUAAACCUUAAAUCCCACCCCUUAAACCAUAAUCCCUAAAUCCAUAUAUAAUCCCCAAACCUUAAAAUAGUAACUCCUAAACUGGCCUUAAAUAUUAAAUUAACCAUAUACCGUAAGCCAUAUAAACCCUAAAGUACUAUAAUGAUAAUUAAUUAAAUAUUUUAAAUUUAAUACUAUCUUAUCUUUUUCAAUUAUAUAUGAAAUUAUUUAAUAUAUAAAUUUAUAAACAUAUUUAAAAUAUAAAUUAAAAAAUUAAUCUAGACCCAAAACCUUAACUCGACCCAUGAAACCCUAAAUCCUAAAUUAACCAUAUAUAUACUCUAAACCAUAUAUAUUAAACCCUAAACUAUAAUGAUAAUUAAAUUAAAUAUUUUAAAAUUAAUACUAUCGUAUCUUUUACAAUUAUAUUUGAAAUUAAUACUUAAAAUUAAUACUCUAAUUUCAUUUGUCCCUUUUCAUUCAUUUUUAGUUCUUACUCUUGAGUUGGUACUAUUAGGUCAUUGUUGUGUUCAUGUUUGAUUAACUAAAUAUAAAAUUAUUUUUGGUAAUAAAAUUAUCAAUAUAUAAUAUUAUUUAUCACCAUAUUUGGUGUUUUAUAUUUUUUUAUUUGAUUUAUUUAUUCGAACUAUCAAUUUAAGUUUUAUGAUAUUUUAUUUUACUCAUAAUUUAAUAUAUUUUUCUAGUAAAGUAGUUUAAAUAAACUGUACAUGAUUGAAAAAUAAUAAUAAAUAGUUAAUUAGGAUUAGGACUUCUCUUUAAUAAAAACAUUUUGUAUUAAACAAUAUUAUUUGUUAUCAUUUAAAUGUAAAUUUGACCAAUAUAUAAUAAAUACAACGAAAUAUCAAUUUUUUCAACUUAUAAUAAAAAAUAUAUAAUUGAAACAUUACUUGAGAAUAUAUCAAAAAAUGAGAUAAUUGAAAUGGUAUUAGAUUUUAUUAUUACUAGCGGCGCUUUUUUAAAAACGCACUAAAGGCCAUAGCAAUACCGGCGCUUCUUUAAAAACGCCGCUAAAGAUCUGAGCAUUAGCGGCGCUUCUUCAAAAACGCCGCUAAAAGACAGAGCAUUAGCGGCGCUUUUUCAAAAACGCCGCUAAAGGCCAGAGCAUUAGCGGCGCUUACUCAAAAACGCCGCUAAAGGCCAGAGCAUUAGCGGCGUUUUUGAAUAAACGCCGCUAAAGGCCCCAAAAACUCAGAAAACGGUGUCGUUUGGCUUAGGCUUUUUGCGUCGCUUUUCAGAAAACGCCACUAAUGCUUAUUUUUAUCGGCGUUUUUGGAUAAGCGCCGCUAAUGUUCUACCUUUAGCGGCGUUUUUUUAAAAGCGCCGCUAAUGCUCGAUUUUUAGUGGCGUUUUUUGUCCAAACGCCGCUAAAAGCCUGUUUUGGUGUAGUGAAAGAUAUGGUAAGAAUCUUCUUAAACAAAUAUGUAAGAUUAUUGGUGCAGUUAUAGAAUUGUUAGUAUAAAUACAAAUAAUAUAUUCGAAGAACUUAAAUUAAAAUUGAAUAUUAUAAAAAAUUAUUCAUCAUGCAUUCAAAUAAUUAUAAUUAAAAUUAAAUAUUUUAAAAUAUUAUUACAUUGAUAAUUUAAAUAUAUUUAAAUUAAAUUUUAAAAAAUUAAACAAAAAAUUUGGAGAAAACUUAGGUCUCAUUAAUUGAGAAUCUUAAUUUUUUCUUAAAAGAGGUGAGUAUAAAUAUAAGCUAUAAAACAAUCACUUUUAUUUGCCUUAGAUUACAUUUAGUCAUUUAUGUUUGAAAUUUUACGUUUUAAUUAUUUACGUUAUUGUUCUGUUACGAAGUGGUCACUCUAUAAUUAAACUCUAUUACCUUUUUAAAGGCAGUUUCAUGUGGUAGUCCAAAUAGGUUUUAAAUGCCAACUUAGAUGUCCAGUUGUUGGGAUGAAAAUAUGUUUUUAAUUGAAUAAAUUUAAUUUGAACUGCCACAUAGGAUAUCCAAGUUAGCAUUUAAAACCCUUUUGGAUUGUCACAUAGGACUGCCGUUAGGGAGAUAACGGAGUUUAACAGUAGAGUGACCACUUUGUAACAAAAAGAUAACGUAAGUGAUUAAAACGUAACAUUUCAAACAUAAAUGAUUAAAAUGUAAUCUAAGACAAUCAAAAGUGACUACUUUUAUAGUUUACCCUAAAUCUAAACAUGAUUCACAAGUACAAACAACAAAUAACAAAUCUUCAAUCAACUAAAAUUAUAAUCUAACUUAAUAUAAAACACAAGGGGUGGAAAACCAAAUAUUCAGAUUCAAAUCAUAAUAAAAUUGAACAGGGCCAAUAUAUGAUAUUUGCAUGGAUGUUACUUAAACUAGGGCAUAUGAGGUUCUAAGGUCUUAAUCUUUACCAACAUUAUGAUAGUCGUAUUGGGGAUGAGAAUAUUAGGUGUUGUUUGAUAAGUUGAAAAAAUAAAUGUUGAAUUUAAGUUAUAAAAUUUAUUUAGUAAAUUUAUUAAAAUAAGCAUGAUUAGAUUAUUUGAUAAAUUCAAUUUGAUAAUUUUAAGGGUGAAGUAUUUAUAGGAUAAUUUUUUAAAAAAUAAAGUAAAAUAAAAAUUGGAAAAAAUUUUUACAUGGAUAAGUAUUUCUUUAUCUACCUAACAAAUUUUCACAAAUUUUUAUUGAAAAUUUUAUAAUUUAUUUUUUUAUUAUGAAUUAUCAAAGACACUUAAGAUUAAAUCACUAAAAACAUUAAUUUUUAAUUAAUGUAAUUUUAUAUUCAAUGAAUUAUCAAAUAAAAUCGUAAUUAUUUAAAUAUUUAAUACAUUUGUCAUCGAAAUUAAAAAAACUCCACAAUGAGAUUAGGAAAAUAUCAAAUAUCCUUAAAUUACAUUAAAAAUAAAAAUAAAUAAAUAAGCAUCUCUUAAUACUAUAUUUUGGAAUUUUUUAAAUUUCACUGAUAGCUAAUAAUAAUCUUCUAUCAUCAGAGAUGAUCAAUUAAAAUAUUUACAAGCAUGAGAAGAGAUGGUAUGAAACUGUGAUUCUAUGUCAUUCAUUUUCCUUUACAAUAAAAGAAUGAAAGAUUGGAUUAUUUUUCUCCUAAUUUUUAGCUUUUUCCUCUUGACAAAAAUUUAAAUUUAACUAAAAAUGCUAAAAAUCAGGAAAAAAAAUCUAAUUUAUCAUUCUCCUAUUAAAAAGAGAUAAAGAUAACGUGAAAUCACAGUUUCAUACAAUCAUUCUCUUACAACCAUAUACAAAAAAUAAUAAUUUUUAUUUAAAGUUUCCAUAUUUGAAAAUAAUAUUUUUUAUUUAAAUAAUUUUAUAUACUCUCAUAAUUUAAUAUUAAAAUUAGAAAUUAAACUUUAGAAAAGAUAUCAUUAGGUUCAGAUGAGUUUGAAGAAGUAGUCCGGAUUAAUUGAGAUUAACAGCUAAAAGGCAGUGCCUUGUUGAUGGCCAAAAGAAAAAGAAAGGCCUGUGUUUUGGCAUAGCAUACCUGCUGUUAUGAUCUAUUAAUCUGUGAUAUCUCGGCUUCUUACUCCUCUGUCUGUCUUGGUAUCAGAGCCAGCAACUCCCAGAUUUUCUUUUAUGAGAAACCUAAAUUCAGAAAGGAAGAGAAUUUCAAAAAUAUGGAAUCUCCUCGUAUGUCUACAACAAAAGCACCUCUCUCUUUACCAGAAUUUCCUUUCCGUUCCCAUUCUGCUAGAAAAAUUUCUUCUCUGUAUGAAGUAGAAUAUUUUACUGAUGAAGAAAAGGUUCAAGCUACCAAUCUUCCUUUAGUAAAUCCAUAUUCCGCCUACCAAAAACCUCUUUUUCUCCUGUUAAAAGUAUUAAGUCCCUGAUAACUACCAGAAGAAAAGCUGUGAAGGAAUAUGUCCAGUCCUCUAAGUUUGACAAACAUCUUAUCUAUGGAGGACAAGAAGAACAUUUUGUUACACUAGAAAUUCCUUCUCAAUUUCCACAAGAAUGGUGCCAACAUGGAUAUUCUCAUAUCCAUUUCGGAGCAGUACGCCUAGCACUAAACUAUCAUGGAACUUCAGGGAAACCUGUUGUCUCCAGGAUCGCUCUUUUAGAUUCCAGAUACAAGCGGUACCAGGAUGCUUGUAUAGGAACAAUUGAAGCAACUAUAAGUUCAGGCAUGGCCAUGGUGACUUUAUUUCCAAAUUUCACCAUGUCUCUUCAAGAUCCCAACCUGUUAGAUGCUGUCAAAGUCCAGAUACAGAUUAUAGGAGCUGAGAUGGUUGAAUCCGCAGUCAUUGUAACCCUACACUACCAAAUAGUGUAUCGGGUUCAAGAUCAUGCAUUCAAGUUGACAAAUCAAAGAUCUGAAGACUCUCUUCUUAUCUCUGUAAAUACAAGAGAUGAACCUUAUUGUAUCCAUGUGCCAAAGCAAAUACCCAAACAAGAGCUUUUAAAGCUUCUACCUAAGAAAUGGGUAACCAAUUAUGAACAGAUUCAUCAACACAGUCAGCCAAUUCGAUCUACAAAAAGCCAGAUCACUACAAAAGCUGACGGAACUAGCGAAAUCAGAUUUGAUCAUAGUUACUUGAAGCAACUUCUGACUCCUCCUGUUUUUACAACCCAAGUGAUGUUACAGCAACAACACCAGAAGCAGCAGUACCUGGUCCAGAAUCAUCAUUGAUACAAAUCUUUCAGACAGAUGGAAAGCCUUUGUAUUUUUUUAAAGAUCUCAGAGGACAUUGUCCUUGGGAUAUUAAUUGUUCAUGUGAAGGCUGCAGAAAUGAUGUUUUUGAAGAAAUCGAUGAAGAUGUUCGACGAUCACGAAAGAAGAAAACCAAUAAAAAAUCAACACAGGCAUAUUUUUAUGAAAGAUGGAUGGAUAGAGAUCCAGACAUCGGUCCAUUAAAGGAAGAUAACGGCAAGUUUGUGUAUCUUGUAGAUUAUUCUACAAAGAAGCCAAAAUCCUCUACAACUUAGGAUCAACCUCAAGCGCCUCCACCAUCACCAAAAAUAGACCCUAAUCAAAAAUGGCUUGCCAAGCCGUUGAAAUAGCCCUGCUAUAGAAAGAUCAACAAAUGGGUCCAGAAAAAUAAUCAGUUCAUACCAUGCAACCAAGAAGAACGAAAAACUGCAGCUCCUGUUCAGGCAAUUCCAAAAGUUCACAUGUAUGAAGUAACCUCUUCCUAUGAUCAAGAAUUUGCGCCCCUUGAAGAAUUUUCAAAAAAUGAAUACUUUCAUGUGCCAAAAAUCUCUUCAAGACUUCUAGCAGAUGCAGAAGGCAAACAAGUCAAAAUAGCAGCAACAGAAGCCACCUUAAACUGGCAAACGGAGAAUGUUGUGUCUCAGAAUUCUGCAAUCAAGAAGAUUAGCCAAAAGGUCAAUCAGAUUGAUACAAAAGUUUAAAAGAUAGAGAAAACCACAGAUGAAAAUUCUGAAAUGAUCAAGAAUCUUAUUAAGCUUUUUCAAAAAAGGCUUAAAGAAGUUGCUACUGAACCAGCAGCCCCAGGAUAAGAUUUUUUCUCUCAUCUUGCUCAGAGAGAAAAAGAAAUCUAGAAUCUUAAAGAUCAGAUCAAGUAUCUGAAAGAAAAUAGAAAGCUGCCACCACCACAACCUACAAAAAAUGGGAUAGAACUUUUCCCAUCUGUAAGACAGUUUGACAAACCGAGACCAUUUGCGACAACCAUUCAUCUUUCCUCCACCAGAAGAAAAGAAAAAGCCAAUCAUCCAUUAUUUGUAUCUGCAAAUCAAAACACAAAAGGAGGAAGAAAAAAGAAGAUCCAAAGAAGAAAAAAGACGAAAAGAGAAGGCACUUGGAAAAAGACCAAUGUAAAAACAACAAGAUGAAGAGGAAAGCCAAUUUCCCUCACCAUCGAAAUCUCCACCAAAACAGAUAUCGAAAUCUCUAAUGAUGAGAAAUGAAGAAAAUCAUUCUAAUCCUUUAACAAGGUUUUUGAAGGAUUACAGUCACGAGAUUCUUCCAAAAAUAUAUGUUAUUCAUAAAUUAGAGACGACUCCAGUACAAGACUUUCCAUCACAAUCAUCAGAACAAUCAUCAGAAACUCUCUCAGAAGAUUUAGAGACAUCUGAUGAAUUAUCUGAUGAAUCAAAUGACCCUACAGAAGAAAUUACUGGCAAAAAAGAAAGUCUUCCAGACAUAAUGGCCACUCCUAGUGUUAAAGUUGAAGAAAUGUCAGAAGAAGAAAUAAUUGAGGCAGGAGAACCAUCAACUACAAGAUCAACACCCCAUGUUUCUACGAGGAAAAUGGUUUUCACCUUAGAUGAUAUUCCGAUAACCAGAUGGCCAGAAAGAUUACAAGAAUUCCACUCAUGGCUUGACACAAGAAAGCUGACAGAAAAAAGGCAUUAUAAUGUCCUGGUUGAAUUCAUGUCAAGAUUUACAGGAAUGUUGAAAGAUUGGUAGAAUUUAGUUGACCAAGGGAAUCAAUUGUAGUUUUUUUGUGUUAACAGACUUUGCUCAAGCAAUAAGGAUUCUCCAUAAUUAUUUCAUUGGAAAUCCUGAUGAUCAUUUGACACUCAAGAGAAGAGAAUUCUUCAAGUGAAAAUGAUGUUCUUACAAAAAGAAAGAUUUAUCAAAGCAUUUUUAUGCAAUGAUGAAACUCUUCUAGGCCAUUGGGUCAGAACCAAGUUUGAAACAAGCUGUUGUCUCGUCACUUCCAGAUCCCCUCCACGUGGAAAUAAAUCAAAAUCUUUACAGGCAAAAUAAAAACAUUCUCAACUUAACCAUGGGAGAAAUCCAACAAGAGACGUUCAUUGCUCUUGAAGAUAUAUGCAAUAGAAGAAAAGUCUUUAAAGAUUAUCUCCAUGGUGAUAGAAGGAUAGACAAAGCCUAUACUGAUUCACAUCUCAAAAUCAAAUGUAGCAAAGACAAAUCAUGCUACUGCCCAACAAAGAAGAAAAUGCAUUUCCGUAGAGAAAAAAGAUUUUCCCGAGUGAUUCCCAAAAAGAAAUAUUGAUGGAGGUACCUCAAGAAGAAGAAAUUCUCCAAGAAGAACAAAUCCACGAGAUGUUAUAUCUGUAACCAAAAAGGUCAUUUUGCAAAAGCAUGUCCAAAGAAUAAGAAAGGUGCAAAGAUGAUCCAACAGAUCCAGUAAAAAGUAGGAAUCAAGAUAUCAGAAGAAGAUGAUAUUGAGUCAUUAUUCUCUAUUGAUGAUGAACCCAAUGAUUAGUCAAUAUGUACAAUCCAAAGUUUUGAUUACAGUGACUCAGAAUCAACUUCAAGUGAAUCAUUGAUGAUCCAGACUAUGAUGAAUUAUAAAUCUUCAACUUAAUAUGCUUCUUCACCAACCUGUUCUGCUACAGAAGUUCUAGGUCCUCACAUUCCAGUUUCUAUUUACCUGGAAAAAUACAGUAGACCCAUCACUGUGAUUGUUUUUAUUGAUACUGGAGCUGUAGAAUCCAUCAUGAAUCCAGACAUUUUACCAGAAGAAUGGUGGGAGCCUCAUACCAAGUAUUUCAGCUCAGCAUCGGGGAAAAUUUUUACCACAGACUUAAAGAGUAAGCCCAUUAAGAUCCAAUUUUUUCCUACUUGCUCCAUCACUACUACCGUAUUGGGCUCAAAACUCCCAGGAAAAGAUCUUAUUGUUGGUUUUGACUUAUAUAUCAAAGCCAAACAAUUAAGAAUCUUACUAGAAGGAAUAAGGUUCAAACAGAUGUUCAAGCCCUAUCCCCAGAUUAUUCCUUAUAGAUGCUGACAAGAUUCAACAAAUUGUUGAAGAACUGAAGCAGAAAGCAUGUGCAGAAUAUCAUUCAGAAUUUCUGUAAAAAUGUAAUAAUCCUUUAUGGAAAAAUCCAAGCUUUUUUAUCAAGCUUAUAUUCAAGAAAAAUGAAGAUAUCAAUCCAACCAAAGCUAGUCAUGUGGGAAUAAAUCCAGUCCAUCUCAAACUAGCUGAAGAAGAAUGUCAACAAUUACAAGAACAAUGAUUGAUUGAACCUUCAGACGCACAAUGGGUAUGUGAAGCAUUUUAUGUGAAUAAAAGAUCAGAGCAAGCUCGAGGAAAAUUAAGAUUGGUAAUCAAUUACCAACCUCUUAAUUAUUUUCUACAAGAUGAUAAAUUCCCUCUGCCUAACAAGAACUGCAUGUUCUCAAGUCUUGCAAAUGCUUACAUCUUCUCUAAAUUUGACUUGAAGGCAGGAUUUUGGCAACUGGGUAUAAGCUCUGAAGACAGGCCCAAAACAGGAUUUUGUAUCCCAAACAAGCACUUCCAAUGGACAGUUAUGCCUUUUGGGUUAAAAACAGCUCCAUCACUAUUUCAAAAGGCGAUGAUACGAAUUUUCCAGCCUAUCAUGGAUCAAGCCCUGAUUUAUAUUGAUGAUAUUCUACUCUACAGCCCAGAUCAAGAAGAUCAUGCAAUUCUCCUUGAUAAAUUCAAGCAAAUUAUUCUUGACAAAUGAAUAAUGCUUUCUGAAAGGAAAAUGCAAAUCAACAAAGAAGAAAUAGAGUUUCUCGGAAUGAUCAUCACAAAGAGAUCAUAUCAGCCAAAUCCAAAUAUUGCUGAAGAACUCAAAAAAUUUCCAGACAGUAAUAUUUCCCAGAAGCAAAUCCAACAGUUUCUAGGAAUUGUUAAUUAUCUUAGAGAUUUUAUCCCUAAGAUUGCAAAAUUAACAAAUCCUUUGAGGAAAAUGCUGAAAAAGAAUCCACUACCCUGGAAAUCCAAACAAACCAACGCAGUUAGACAGCUGAAGGAGAAAACAUCCCAUUUACCACAAUUGCAGAUCCCAUCCACAGAAAAAAGAAUUUUACAGACAGAUGCAAGUGACAAAUACUGGGGAGCAGUUUUAUUUGAAGAAGACAAUGGAAAAAGAAAGCUCUGUGGAUACAAAAGUGGCAGAUUCUCUGAUGUAGAAAUCCACUAUUAUUCCACUUUCAAAGAAAUCCUUGCAGUAAAAUAUGGAAUUACUAAGUUCCAAUUUCAUCUGACAGGAUAUCACUUCCUCGUUGAAAUGGAUAUGUCAUCCUUUCCAAAAAUGCUGCAAUUCAAGUAGAAGGAAGUACCACAUCCUCAACUCCUCAGAUGGGCAGAGUGGUUUUCUAGGUAUUCCUUUGAUGUUGUUCAUAUUAAAGGAAAAGCCAAUGUCUUUGCAGAUAUUUUAACCAGAUUACCAGAAUCAAAACCACUUGAUACCCCUAUUCCUAAACCAGUUAAAGUUUUCAUGUUCCAACCUACCUCCUCCAAAGGAAAAAGAAAAAAGAAACAAUCCCAACAACCACCUUUACCAUUUUCUCUCUCAUGCAACCUAAAUUCCCAUCCUGAUCACCCUCCAGAGGUUUUAAGCUUAAUCCUAGAAAAAAGAUUUCACAAAUAAGCCAUGAACAUGAUGCUCUCUUAUCAGACAAAUGUUUUUAGGAAUUUUGGAGGAUUAUUCCUUAAACCUUUAAGACUUCACCCUGAUUACCCAUUCAUCAACCCAAUCAAGUUCCAGUUUGGUGAAUUCCCUGAAGAAUUAAAAUGGAUGUUCUGGUACCUAACUCAUCUUUUUCACAUAGGAAUUGAGUUCUUUAUGCCUGAUCUCCAGCAUUUCUUGACAAUGGCAAUCCACAAUGAAGAAGCUCCUGAAAUAAAAAAUCUAGCCACAUUUUUAAAAUGGUUUUAUCCUUUAGAACACUGGGUUGAUAUGCUCAUGUUUAAGUUCCUCAAAAACACACGUGUUCAAUGGAUAGUAAUUAUUUUUUAUAAACCUCAAUAUUUUAUGCAGCAUGGACCAGCUACACAGUUAGCCGCUCUUCCUAGUUCUGGAUCCAUAAGACAUAUUUUAAAGAGGUUUAUGAAAAUCCUUUUGAUCUCAAGAAUUUGCAGAAAUAUUUGUGUCAGAUCAACAAAAUCAUUCAUUCAGAAAUAUGGCCCUCAGAAAAAUCACAGGCACCAUGGGAUGUUCAAAAGAAUCCACCGACGCCUUAUCAGAAACAGUUGAAAGAAGCCUUGGAUGAAUAUUGGACCAACAUACCAGAUCCAAAAAAAUGGUCUCAAGAGUAUCCUAUGCAUUGUAGUCAAGCAGUACAAGACACACCAGCUUGGAAUGAUAUACAUGAAGAAGGAUCUAGUGUUACACUAUUUACCAGACACAAUAAUGAUGCGAUACCACCUGAUGAUCUUGAAAAAAGAAUUGAACAGCUGGAGCUUAAAUGUUACAAGGCACGUGAAGAAAAGAAACGAAAAGCAGAGGAAUUAAAUAUUACCUCUGACAUCAACACUGACUAUGACACAGAUGAAGCUGAGUCAUUAGGAUAAAAGCAAGAAAAGCAGAUUCCUUCUUAUCUGCUUAUCCCUAUGUAAAUUAUUGUCUUUAACUUUUGCAAAAAUCUGCUGAGUCAUGUCCUUUAUCUUAAUGAGUGAUUGUAAAAGCAUAUUCCUUCUUAUCUGCCUAUCUUAGCUCUCCUUCUCUAUAUAAAGAUGGGGAAGCUCAGUUGUAAAUCAGAACCAGUUGGAAAAAUAAAAAUAGUAGUGUGUUUCUAUAAACCAUGUCUUUCUAAAUCCCUUCAUCUCUUCCAGCCUGAAUAGGGAGUAUCCAUAAAAGAAAAUCUCUCGUGAGUUUAAGAGUAUGCUUUGUGUUUACCAUUUCUAUGGAUCCUGCACAUCAGAAAUUAAACUUUAGAAAAGAUAUCAUUAAGUUCAGAUGAGUUUGAAGAAGUAGUCCGGAUUAAUUGAGAUUAACAGCUAAAAGACAGUGCCUUGUUGAUGGCCAAAAGAAAAAGAAAGGCCUGUGUUUUGGCAUAGCAUACCUGCUGUUAUGAUCCAUUAAUCUGUGAUAUCCCGGCUUAAGUGAAAAAGAAGAAGGUCUAGGUAUUAAAGUGAGACAAAAAGAAAAUUAGGUAUCUAAAUUGAAAAACAAACAAAAUUUAAAGGACUAAAUAUUAAAUUAAAGAAAAAGAAAAGCGAUGCUUAAGUCCUUCUCAAUCAAUUAUGUAGAAUACGUGUCAUACUAUAAUUAGUCAAUCAAUUAAAAAUUAAAAAGUAGGAUAAAAAAUAAUCCAGUAAUAAAUCUCCACUUCAAUGAACGUACGGAAAUCGAGUUAUCGGAAUUCGGAACUGAUAAUAAAAAGAUAAAAAAGCAAAUUAAAGAAACCCUUGCGCUCGGUCUUCGAUAAAUACUAUAGAAAUCCAAGAAAAAAAAUUUAAAAAAACCCCUAAUUCUAUAAAAAGAUCGAAUUAAAGUAGAAUCAGAAGCAAAAAUCGCCGAGGAAAACAAGAUGUCGGGGCAGCAAGAAGAAGAUAAGAAGCCCGGCGAUCAGUCCGCGGCUCACAUCAACCUCAAAGUCAAAGGCCAGGUCUCUCGAAGCGUUUAGGGUUUAUGUUUUAUAUUUUGAUUUUCAUUCAAUUAAUCGCUUUCUUGUUUUGAAUCCUUGGGGUUUUUUUAUGUUGGAAGGUGGAAUUUCGAGUUUUAAAGAGGUUAUACCUUUUAAUUUGUUUGUUUGGGUUGUUUUGAUCACUUAUAUGGAAAAUUAUGCCGAUAUGGGUAAGUACUGAGUUUUUGUAAUUUUAAAAUUUUUGGGUGUUUAUGGUGUUUUUGGCUUUGGGAUUAAUGAGAUGGUGAUUGGCUAGUUGCAAAGACUGGUUUUUGUUAUAUAAGUGUGUUGUAUGCCUCCGCCGUGCUUGGAAGAUCUCACCAGUUCAACCACCACGUGUGGAGUCCGUUAACCUCGUUGAUGGCCUCAUUAAGUGCUGCAUGGCUACGGACACGUGAACUAUACACGAUCUACAUGUGGCCCUUGUGUGCUCCACACUUGUCACCCGGGACUUGGUGGCUAUAUAUAGCCUUUCGCCAUAGAAUCCAUCAAAAGCUCCGAUACCCGGGAAUGCCUCCCGGGUGAACCAUUGUCAACCGUCAAACCCAUGUUGGCCCAUCAACUAAGUGUUGGUUGGAGGCUGAGUAUUUUAGUUUAAGAAUAAAAACCUGAGUACCUUAGCUAUUUUUGGCUUGUUCUUUUUAUAACUGAGACUAGUGUUUGAGAUUAGUUAAACCACCACAUGUGGAGACCUCAUUAGGUUAACCUUGGAGAUGGCCUGCCUAACUGCUGCAUGGCUACAGACACUAGAACCAUACAUGAUCCAUGCGUGGCCCUUAUGCACUCCACAUUUGUCCCAUGGGACUUGGUGGCUAUAUAUAGCCUUUCCCUAUGGAAUCCAUGAGAAAGGGGGAGUUCCUCUCCUUCUCUUAGGAAUCCAUCAAAAGCUCUGAUCCCUAGGAAUGCCUCCCGGUUAAACCAUUGUCAACUGUCAAAUCCAUGCCAGCCGAUCAAUAAAGUGUUGGUUGGAGGCUGUGUACUUUAGUUAAAGAAUUAAAACCCAAGUACCUUACCUUGUUAUUUUUAUUUUUGGCUUGUUCUUGUAACAAGUAAGAUUAAUAUUUGAGAUUAUAGUUAAUUUAUUCUAUUCUUAUUUAAAAUAUGUAUUCUAGAAUUGAUUGCCUUUUCUGUUUGUGUUAUAUGUUGAUAUUAGCCUUAAUUGGAAGGCAUGACCGUGGUGUUUACUCAUGCACUGUUAUAGAUUUAGCAUGAUUUAGAUUACAUUAAGGUCUAAAAGAUAUUGUUUGCGGUUUGUUAUUACUUUUCCUUUUGUGUCUCUUAGCGAAUCUUUGAUUAGGUAAUGAUGGCAGAAUCUCUCUUUGUUUGUCAAAAGGAACUCUAUUUUCACCCUGUUUUUUGUGCAUCUUGCAUAAAAAAUUUGAGAGUUUUGGAUAAUCCAAAUAAUGGGAAAUCAAUUGUUGUCUAAUUAUCGGUUUUAAGAAAUUUGCAGGUUUAAAUAGUUUUUCUGCUUUUGAACUGAUAAAGAACUGCAAAUUUGUGAAAUUAAUUUGUUUUGAAUUGUGUUUAUGUGGCCUUAAACAAGCCUUGAUUUGACUUGUCUAUUUGUACAAACCUUUUUAAUUUACUAUUGAAUGGUAUAUCUGUUUUGGCUUAAGAAUUUUAUUCACUUCUUUUAAGGUUGAAUUGAGAACUUUGGUGUUCAUAUUUUGUAGUGAAAUGUAAGGUAAAACUACUCGGAUUAAGGCUCACUAUUUUACUUUCGGACUAAAUUGUAUUAUGACUGUAGGACGGGAAUGAAGUUUUCUUCAGGAUCAAAAGGAGCACACAAUUGAAGAAGCUCAUGAAUGCAUAUUGCGACCGACAAUCUGUGGAUUUCAACUCGAUUGCCUUCUUGUUCGAUGGUCGCCGCCUGCGAGGUGAGCAAACUCCUGACGAGGUAUGAUUUCAUUUCUCUCUCAUACAUAUACACAAUUACUUGUACUAAUAUGCACCCACAGAUCGGAAU